GAUGAACGCUAGCGACAGGCCUAACACAUGCAAGUCGAGGGGCAGCACGAAGUAAGCUUGCUUACUUGGGUGGCGACCGGCGCACGGGUGCGUAACAGGUGUGCAAUCUGUCCAUAAUCGGGGAAUAGCCCAGCGAAAGUUGGAUUAAUGCUCCAUGUGAGUGUUAGAGGAAGCUCUUUAACUUGAAACGCAAGGUGUAUGGGUGAGUACGCUUCAGAUUAGGUAGUUGGUGAGGUAACGGCUCACCAAGCCGACGAUCAGUAGGGGUUCUGAGAGGAAGGUCCCCCACAUUGGAACUGAGACACGGUCCAAACUCCUACGGGAGGCAGCAGUGAGGAAUAUUGGUCAAUGGGCGAAAGCCUGAACCAGCCAAGUCGCGUGAAGGAUGAAGGUUCUAUGGAUUGUAAACUUCUUUUGUCUGAGGGUAAAAAAGCGGACGUGUCCGUUCUUGCAAGUAUCAGACGAAUAAGCAUCGGCUGACUCCGUGCCAGCAGCCGCAGUAAUAC
rnacentral:rRNA from 1 species